rnacentral:tRNA from 2 species
GGGCCGUUAGCUCAGUUGGUAGAGCACCGGACUUUUAAUCCGUGUGUCGGAGGUUCGAAUCCUCCACGGCCCA